GGCGAACGGGUGAGUAACACGUGAGCAACCUGCCCUAGGCUUUGGGAUAACCCCGGGAAACCGGGGCUAAUACCGAAUAGGACCUGACACCGCAUGGUGUUUGGUGGAAAGUUUUUCGGCCUGGGAUGGGCUCGCGGCCUAUCAGCUUGUUGGUGGGGUGAUGGCCUACCAAGGCGACGACGGGUAGCCGGCCUGAGAGGGCGACCGGCCACACUGGGACUGAGACACGGCCCAGACUCCUACGGGAGGCAGCAGUGGGGAAUAUUGCACAAUGGGCGGAAGCCUGAUGCAGCGACGCCGCGUGAGGGAUGACGGCCUUCGGGUUGUAAACCUCUUUCAGCAGGGACGAAGCGUAAGUGACGGUACCUGCAGAAGAAGCGCCGGCCAACUACGUGCCAGCAGCCGCGGUAAGACGUAGGGCGCGAGCGUUGUCCGGAUUUAUUGGGCGUAAAGAGCUCGUAGGCGGCUUGUCGCGUCGACUGUGAAAACCCGCAGCUCAACUGCGGGCCUGCAGUCGAUACGGGCAGGCUAGAGUUCGGUAGGGGAGACUGGAAUUCCUGGUGUAGCGGUGAAAUGCGCAGAUAUCAGGAGGAACACCGGUGGCGAAGGCGGGUCUCUGGGCCGAUACUGACGCUGAGGA
rnacentral:rRNA from 1 species